rnacentral:tRNA from 10 species
GAUCCGGUAGCCAAGUAGUAAGGCAGGAGUCUGCAAAACUCCCAUACGCGGGUGCAAUUCCCGCCCGGAUCU